GCCUUGAAACAGAGGAAGAGAGAAUAAGAGGCUAAUUUUGUCCUCUUUAGGCUACAUUAUACAAGUGACUGCAGUACAAACGCAUCUAAAUAAUAUAUCGACAAAACCAUCCAGCACUCAGUGGCCCCAUCGCGCUGGUCAGUAGAGGACCCGUGGCCACCAGACGCAGCGGAACCUUUCUGGGUCGUAACGUGAUGACCCGGGGGACGUAGAUAGCCAGACGACGCGAGGAGGAAAGUGCGGGAGACUGGAACGAAGCGACUGCAGUGUUAUGAAGAAUGAUGCCGCCGAAGUCCCGAGUGGCUUCGAGACAAGGAAGAGAAGCUACGCGACUCACUUCAGCCAGUCAGUCAGUGGUCAGUGGCGUCAGCUUCGUUGUGGUGUACGUGUGAGUCUUCUGUGUUUUCUUGGACGCUUAUUUGGGCUCUAGGUGAACCAAGACUCUCCCAAAGCUUGUCCACAGUGGUCAGCAGCUGUGACACAAGGAGCAGCUGUCUCAGCGACGGGGAGCGGUGGACGGCGGAUGAAUACUUCGGCUCCCGCGCCUUCUUCCGCAUCAUGUCCGACCCGCCGAUCCUGGUGGUGGGUGGCGUGCGUCAGAGGAGUUGAAAAAUGUGAGAGAAGACACAGUAUGUUGAGGGAAGGCAGCUGCACUAGUGACAGCAGCAGCAGAGGCCCACCCACUGCUGCUGCUCCUCUCCUCUUCCCAGCACAGCAGCACACAGGACACAUUUCCAUCAUCUUUAAAUCCCGGACACUUGUGCCUUGGUGAUAAUCUCACAGCAGCAAACCCUACAUUGCUCAGGUUAACUUCCAGCUAGAAUCAUAAUAUCUGGAGUUAUUUUUCCACAAAGAAGGAUUCAAAAUAUCCCCCCCAAAAAAUAAGAUAUUUUUAGAAAUGAAAAUCCACUCGAAUUUUCUGCCUGAAGCUCUCGUUAAAAUGACUCCCUCUUGAAUCUUGUGUCCGACUCCAGCUGUGUCCAAGAGAAUGGAUCUCCAGUUUGUAGUGAGACUUCCGAGCCGCCCAGACCUGUGAAGGCGAGCAGUCUGUCAGAUAAUGAGAGUAGACAACAUAAGCAACAUAAUGAGAGACAAAUCAUAGUCACAAUAAUAGAGAUAAAAUGAAGGCACUCAAGUAUUAAUGAGAAAACAAAACAGAAUAAUAAGCAAAGUAAAAAUAAUGAGACAAUAAGGCCAGUCAACAAAUAAUAGUGAAUUUACUGUAGGAAGGGUCUGCUGUACUACUUAAUGACCAUUCAAGUCUACUUGUCAAAGAUGUGUUUACACUUUGAAGUGUCAUUUUCUUGUACUAUGAUACAUUUUUUACUAUUUUUCUUCCACCUGCCUUAAUUAACAUUGAGUAGAGUCUCACUAAUACAACUUGAAUAUUACUCAGCCGGCAGUCUUUGCCAUGGUGGAGUGUGACACUCUGAAUCAGUACUGACAUUUUAUCAUUUACAUUUCAUUACUUUGAUUACUCAACAAAAUACUGCAUUGUUUUUUGCAACCUGCUGACUGGUGAAGGGACAACGUGUGCUCCUCAACACUUGGUUCUUGCCACGUGCCGCAGCAGACUGACAGCUUCCAGUGGGCCUGUCUGAGGGGCGUGACCUCCGCCGCAUUGCUUCAGCAGCCUUCAAGUCCCGGCAAUGAAACGGUUCGUGUGAGGAAGACUGCUUCUGGUGCUACAGGUGGAAAUUGUUUCUAGUGUCGUGGUGGCAGCACGGGCCUCGGCACUCUCUGGCACCACGGCAGGUGUCAGUGAGGCAGGCAGGUGUUGGUUCAAGUCCUGGCAGUGUCACUUCGCUGCUGUAUUGUUUGGUGCAGCGGAUGAUGCUACGUUUUUCAUCACUUAGUGUAACACAGAGUCUAUUUUUGCUUGACGUUAUUUGUGUUGGUAAGGCAUUUCCACUAUAUAGUGGUAGAUAUUCUGGGAAAUAAGGAAUUAGCAAUACUAAGACAUGCUUGAACAACACUCACCAGUGU